rnacentral:rRNA from 1 species
AGUGAACGCUGGCGGUAGGCCUAACACAUGCAAGUCGAACGGCAGCACAGAGGAGCUUGCUCCUUGGGUGGCGAGUGGCGGACGGGUGAGGAAUACAUCGGAAUCUACUCUGUCGUGGGGGAUAACGUAGGGAAACUUACGCUAAUACCGCAUACGACCUACUGGUGAAAGCAGGGGAUCUUCGGACCUUGCGCGAUUGAAUGAGCCGAUGUCGGAUUAGCUAGUUGGCGGGGUAAAGGCCCACCAAGGCGACGAUCCGUAGCUGGUCUGAGAGGAUGAUCAGCAACACUGGAACUGAGACACGGUCCAGACUCCUAAGGGAGGCAGCAGUGGGGAAUAUUGGACAAUGGGCGCAAGCCUGAUCCAGCCAUACCGCGUGGGUGAAGAAGGCCUUCGGGUUGUAAAGCCCUUUUGUUGGGAAAGAAAUCCAGCUGGUUAAUACCCGGUUGGGAUGACGGUACCCAAAGAAUAAGCACCGGCUAACUUUGUGCCAGCAGCCGCAGUAA